rnacentral:rRNA from 1 species
GUACGCUGGCGGCACGCCUAACACAUGCAAGUCGAACGAAGUAGCAAUACUUAGUGGCAGACGGGUGAGUAACAUGUGGGUAUCUGCCCUUUGGCCUGGAAUAACACGAGGAAACUUGUGCUAAUACUGGAUAAGUCUUUACGGAGAAAGCUUUAUGCACCAUUGGAUGAGCCCGCACUUGAUUAGUUUGUUGGUAGGGUAAUGGCCUACCAAGACUUUGAUCAAUAGCUGAUUUGAGAGGAUGAUCAGCCACAUUGGGACUGAGACACGGCCCAAACUCCUACGGGAGGCAGCAGUGGGGAAUCUUGCACAAUGGAGGAAACUCUGAUGCAGCGAUGCCGCGUGAGUGAAGAAGGCCCUUGGGUUGUAAAGCUCUUUCGUCGGGGAAGAAAAUGACUGUACCCGAAUAAGAAGGUCCGGCUAACUUCGUGCCAGCAGCCGCGGUAAUACGAAGGGACCUAGCGUAGUUCGGAAUUACUGGGCUUAAAGAGUUCGUAGGUGGUUGAAAAAGUUGGUGGUGAAAUCCCAGAGCUUAACUCUGGAACUGCCAUCAAAACUUUUCAGCUAGAGUUUGAUAGAGGAAAGCAGAAUUUCUAGUGUAGAGGUGAAAUUCGUAGAUAUUAGAAAGAAUACCAAUUGCGAAGGCAGCUUUCUGGAUCAUUACUGACGCUGAGGAACGAAAGCAUGGGUAGCGAAGAGGAUUAGAUACCCUCGUAGUCCAUGCCGUAAACGAUGUGUGUUAGACGUUGGAAAUUUAUUUUCAGUGUCGCAGCGAAAGCGAUAAACACACCGCCUGGGGAGUACGACCGCAAGGUUAAAACUCAAAUGAAUUGACGGGGACCCGCACAAGUAGUGGAGCAUGUGGUUUAAUUCGAAGAUACGCGCAGAACCUUACCAACACUUGACAUGUUCGUCGCGACUUUAAGAGAUUAAAGUUUUCGGUUCGGCCGGACGAAACACAGGUGCUGCAUGGCUGUCGUCAGCUCGUGUCGUGAGAUGUUGGGUUAAGUCCCGCAACGAGCGCAACCCUCACUUUUAGUUGCCAUCAUUAAGUUGGGCACUCUGAAAGAACUGCCAGUGAUAAGCUGGAGGAAGGUGGGGAUGACGUCAAGUCCUCAUGGCCCUUACGUGUUGGGCUACACACGUGCUACAAUGGUAUCUACAACAGGAAGCGAAACAGCGAUGUUAAGCAAAUCCUUAAAAGAUACCUCAGUUCGGAUUGCACUCUGCAACUCGAGUGCAUGAAGCUGGAAUUACUAGUAAUCGUGGAUCAGCGUGCCACGGUGAAUGCGUUCCCGGGUCUUGUACACACCGCCCGUCACACCAUGGGAGUUGGUUCUACCUUAAGGCAAGGUUUUAUACCCUUGACCACGGUAUAGUCAGCGACUGGGGUGAAGUCAUAACAAGGUAACCGUA